rnacentral:lncRNA from 1 species
AUUUCUGUCACUUUUUUUUAUGCUACUACUUCCAGAUUUGGCUAUUUACUUUAAAGUUUUUGACAAUUAUAAGCUUGUUAUAAAAGUUUCAGCAUAUUCAAUUUAAAGGAAUCAAAAGAUUUCUUUAUUUCACACUGAUUUUCUUGAGUGUCAAAAUAGAUUUUGAAACAGAAAAUAGUUUUAUGUUGUUUUUGACUCACUGUUUCUGCUAUUAAGAGGUGGAUUCAGCUCAAUCUGCUUUAUUUUGUUGUUGCUCUGUUGCUACUGUUGUUCUUCUUGCUAUUGCCUACGAUGCUUUAUUAAACUUGGAUUCAUCUGCUGCUACUGCUUUCUAAAUUCAAUUUUCUGCUCUUUAUUCUCAUCAGUAAGUUAAUUUUCUUUUAAUUCUUCUUUUCUUUGCUGUUACAGUUCCAGUUUUUCUGAUCAACGCAGAUUUAUUUUUUUCUGACUGCUUUGGUUUUUAUAGUCCUCCCCC